rnacentral:lncRNA from 1 species
ACUUUAACACUUGAACUUAACUUUCGUUUAUUUAUCCCCUUAACAUCUUUAAAGUGAAUUAAUUUCAUUCCUUAAUAUAUAUUAUCACUCUCAUAAUGGAGAGUGUGUUACACUCUCCACACCUCAGCGUCACCUCAACACCACGUCAUUACCAUGUAAAAUUUUAUAAUUUAUUUUAAAAAAGUAAUUUCACACAUAUAUUAUUUUUGUAUAUAUAUAUACAUAUAUAUAUAUAUAAGAAUUAAAUAAAAAUGUCCUCCCCCUCCUUUUCCUUCUUCUUUAGCCCC